CCUACGGGAGGCAGCAGUGGGGAAUAUUGCACAAUGGGCGGAAGCCUGAUGCAGCGACGCCGCGUGAGGGAUGAAGGCCUUCGGGUUGUAAACCUCUUUCAGCAGGGACGAAGCGUGAGUGACGGUACCUGCAGAAGAAGCACCGGCUAACUACGUGCCAGCAGCCGCGGUAAUACGUAGGGUGCGAGCGUUGUCCGGAAUUACUGGGCGUAAAGAGUUCGUAGGCGGUUUGUCGCGUCGUUUGUGAAAACCCGGGGCUCAACUUCGGGCUUGCAGGCGAUACGGGCAGACUUGAGUGUUUCAGGGGAGACUGGAAUUCCUGGUGUAGCGGUGAAAUGCGCAGAUAUCAGGAGGAACACCGGUGGCGAAGGCGGGUCUCUGGGAAACAACUGACGCUGAGGAACGAAAGCGUGGGUAGCAAACAGGAUUAGAUACCCUGGUAGUCCACGCCGUAAACGGUGGCGCUAGGUGUGGGUUCCUUCCACGGGAUCUGUGCCGUAGCUAACGCAUUAAGCGCCCCGCCUGGGGGAGGUACGGCCGCGAGACGUAAACGUACAANAGAGUAGACGGCGUGAGACGUUGCGAGGCGACGACGAGGGAGAGG
rnacentral:rRNA from 1 species